GACGAACGCUGGCGGCGUGCCUAAUACAUGCAAGUAGGACGCAGUUGCGAACGGGUGAGUAACGCGUAGGUACCUGCCUAUUAGAGGGGGAUAAAUAUUGGAAACGAUAGCUAAUACCGCAUACUAGUAGAUGGACCUGCGUUGUAUUAUGUAGUAGGUAGGGUAAUGGCCUACCUAGGCGACGAUACAUAGCCGAGCGGGAAGGGGGAUAGGGAACAAUGGGAAUGAGACACGGCCCAGACUCCUACGGGAGGCAGCAGGAGGGAAUCGUCGGCAAUGGGGGGAACCCUGACCGAGCAACGGCGCGGGAGUGAAGAAGGUUUGCGGAUCGUAAAGCUCUGUUGUUAAGGAAGCGGUACUUAACCAGAAAGGGACGGCUAACUACGUGCCAGCCGCCGCGGUAAUAC
rnacentral:rRNA from 1 species